UACGAGUCGGGUUGUUUG
rnacentral:snRNA from 1 species